CCGAAUGACGCACUACCAGAGCCUAUUGCUGACAGAGCGAUGUGAAGAAAUACUGGCAGAAGAGACUGGAAUCCGGCCAGACCUCACAGACCAACCUUGGCCAGGGGCGAUGACUUGGUUCACGGACGGAAGCAGCUUUGUGGUAAAAGG